GCAGGCGCGUAAAUUACCCACUCCCAGUUCGGGGAGGUAGUGACGAAAAAUAACAAUACAGGACUCAUAUCCGAGGCCCUGUAAUUGGAAUGAGUACACUUUAAAUCCUUUAACAAGGACCUAUUGGAGGGCAAGUCUGGUGCCAGCAGCCGCGGUAAUUCCAGCUCCAAUAGCGUAUAUUAAAGUUGUUGCGGUUAAAACGUUCGUAGUUGAAUUUGUGCUUCAUGCAGGUAGUACAGCUAUAAUCGUAGUUUGUACAUUACCUUAUGUAUGUAAGCGUAUUAUCGGUGGAGUUCUAAUAUAUGAUAGUAAAUAUUAUUAUUAUAUAUACCUCCUAUAUGAAACCUACUUCAGUGCUCUU
rnacentral:rRNA from 1 species